rnacentral:tRNA from 1 species
GGAUAUGUGCCCGAAAACUAGGACUUACCUUGAUAAGGUAAAUAUAGAGGUUUAAACCCUCUCAUCUCCU